UCAAGCACGACCUUCAGGCAGCAGAAGGUUUCAAGAUACAAUUAACACUGAUCCUAACAUGGACCUAAGGAACCUCCGACAGAAUAAAGUCAGCCAUCAGGACGUAGAUAUGCUGCUGAGAGAAGGCGCCAAUAGUUUUGGGGAGUCCCUGCAGAAGAGACUGUUAGAUAUUGAAUCAUUGUACUGUAAGGUGAGAUCCCGUCACAGCUUCAUCCAGGCGCUGGUCCGGCGAAUUAGAGGCCUCCUGCGAGUAUCCAGAGCUUCAUGAGAUCGUACACAACUGUUAUAACUACAAAAAAACCCUUUUUUUUCACUUUUUUCAGACAUAGUACGGAACUUUUUUAUUGCCCCUUGCGAAUCAAUUAAACAAAAUAAUAAUAAUCCCUUA